AAAUAAAGAAUUCUUGAACCGUAGACAGUAGGUGCUAAAAGCUUAAUUUCCUACCGAGGGGAUGGGUCUAAUAUGUUCAUAAAAUGAUAAUAGAGCCUUUCUUCGAUUUUGUCUGCGGAGAGGGCUUUUUUUAUGGAAAA
rfam:Garciella nitratireducens DSM 15102 genome assembly, contig: BP36DRAFT_scaffold00021.21